rnacentral:rRNA from 1 species
GACAGAGGCCUCAAGCGUUAGGCGGAAUCACUGGGCUUAAAGCGUGUGUAGGCGGAUCGUUAAGUGUCUUGUGAAAUCCCCACGGCUCACCCGUGGGAACUGCUGGGCAUACUGGCGAUCUUGGGCCCACUAGGGGCAACUGGAACAAGCGGUGGAGCGGUGAAAUGCGUAGAUAUCGCUUGGAACGCCAAAGGGUGAAAACAGGUUGCUGGGGUUGUGCCG